UACGGAGGGGGCUAGCGUUGUUCGGAAUUACUGGGCGUAAAGCGCACGUAGGCGGCUUUGUAAGUUAGAGGUGAAAGCCCAGGGCUCAACCCUGGAAUUGCCUUUAAGACUGCAUCGCUUGAACAUCGGAGAGGUAAGUGGAAUUCCGAGUGUAGAGGUGAAAUUCGUAGAUAUUCGGAAGAACACCAGUGGCGAAGGCGGCUCACCGGUCCGGUACUGACGCUGAGGAGCGAAAGCAUGGGGAGCGAACAGG
rnacentral:rRNA from 1 species